UUUAGGUAUCUGAUAUGACUGUGAAAAACUAUGGUUAAAUCUGGAUAAAACAGUCAAUUGUCAAAUGUGUGCCAACUUUGACUUUAGUGGUUUGUCAGUUUUCUCCACUGUGAAUAAACCUUGUCCUCUUUGCUUCAAUUUUGAUUUUUUUCCCUGGCAUGAAAAUUUACUUCAUUUCGAUGAAAGCAUAUUCUCAGUUAAAUAGUUUGAAAUGGCUUUUUUCAAAGUACACUGGAUGAUGAACACAGGUUCUGGAUCUAUUUAUCCUUGUGGUAUCGGUGCA